rnacentral:rRNA from 1 species
CUGGCUCAGGAUGAACGCUGGCGGCAUGCCUAACACAUGCAAGUCGAACGGAGCUAUCUUAGAAGCUUGCUUCUUUCUUAGCUUAGUGGCGGACGGGUGAGUAACGCGUGAAGAACCUGCCCUUAAGUGGGGAAUAACACCGAGAAAUCGGUGCUAAUACCGCAUAAAAUCUCUGGAUCGCAUGUUCCUGGAAAUCAAAGGAUUUAUUCGCUUAAGGAUGGCUUCGCGUCCGAUUAGUUAGUUGGUGAGGUAACGGCCCACCAAGACCGCGAUCGGUAGCCGAACUGAGAGGUUGAUCGGCCACAUUGGGACUGAGACACGGCCCAGACUCCUACGGGAGGCAGCAGUGGGGAAUAUUGGGCAAUGGGGGAAACCCUGACCCAGCAAUGCCGCGUGAAGGAUGAAGGUCUUCGGAUUGUAAACUUCUUUGAUUGGGGAAGAAUAAAGUGACCUACCCAAAGAACAAGUCACGGCUAACUACGUGCCAGCAGCCGCGGUAAUACGUAGGUGACAAGCGUUAUCCGGAUUUACUGGGUGUAAA